UGGUGACGGUUAAUGCUGUCAACACAGCAGGACUAGAAUCACCUAGGAGACAGUUCCAGACUAGGUUAACUGAGGAGGUGCAAUGUGACCAGCUGCCUCACGCUCCUGCCACCAUGUCCUUCCCACUGUGAUGGACUGUCACCUUCAAACCAUGAGCCAAGGAGAACCAGCAAAUACUCAAACCAUGGAAACCAUGCCUGCUGCCUGAGCCCACUCCCCUGACAUAGGACGACAAUAGGAACAGCAGCGUAUCCACCCCAAGAAGCCUUUAAUGAGAAAGAAAGCACUUACUGCACAGAUCAACCCAGAGGGAGUGAUUUCUGAAGCAGUACACACAGUACUGCCUCGGAGUAUCUGCCCAGUAGAGCUGAAAUCCGGUUUGAGAAGUGGUAUGUGAGUAUCACAAUCGUGGCAGCAACCCUCACAGUAGUCAAGAGGAGGAAGCCAGGGAAGCAGGAUGUCCAUGCAGUGGGAGAUUAUUCACUCAUAAAAAGAAAACAAUCCUGUCACAUGCUGCAACCUGGAUGACCCCCGAGGAUAUCGUGUUCUGUGAAGCAAACCAGUCACAAAAGACAAAUCAUGGUUUGGCAAACAGAGCAGCCAACAAAAGACCUUGUCUCAAGGUGGAAAGGAGCUGAUAGUUUUAAUAGGACUUGACAGAUGGAUUCAAAAGCCUAUCUAAAAGAACAAAGAGUGAAGACAUCUGAGAGAACUUUUGAAAAAUGAGGGGAGAGACUGACUCACUAGGACCCCAAACUUCUCAGAGGAAUGCUAUGAUCAGCAAGAACGCUAUGCUGG